rnacentral:rRNA from 1 species
UACGGGGGGUGCGAGCGUUGUCCGGAAUCACUGGGCGUAAAGGGCGCGUAGGCGGCCUGGUAAGGCUGUGGUGAAAGCCCGGGGCUCAACCCCGGAUCUGCCGUGGCGACUGUCAGGCUAGAGUGCGGUAGGGGCAGGCGGAAUUCCGAGUGUAGCGGUGGAAUGCGUAGAGAUCCGGAGGAAGACCGGUGGCGAAGGCGGCCUGCUGGGCAGAUACUGACGCUGAGGCGCGACAGCGUGGGGAGCAAACAGG